AACUGAGGUGGAUACAUUUCAGGAUUUGGAGCCAGCUAUAAGCUCUGAUCUCCAUCCAUGACUCCAUCAAGUCAGAGCAGCCUGGAGUUUUGGAGCAGAAGGUUAUCAGGAUGAAGUCUGCUUCUCAUACCAUUGUGAAUGAAGUUGGUGCCUGUCUGGAUGCACAGCCACAAAUCAUUACAGAGGCAAGCAGUUAUGGUCAGAGAAACCAGAGAGGAAUUUGUUACAGUUAGCUGAAGUUACAGGGAUUUCAGGUUACUUGAAAAGCUACACUGAAAAUGGGCCUCAGGAGCUGCUUCACAUGUGGUUCAGCUCCUGCUGGUGAAGAUGGAGCAAACCUGGAGGAAGGCUGCUUCAUGCCAGCAUGGUGUUUGGUGGGAUGUUUCAGUUCAACCAUCAGUUGCAUGCCAUACCCUGCAGCCCUGGUUGCCAGCUCAGAGGAGGAUUUGACUGCUUACUUACACAGAGGGGCUGGCACACAAACAUGCUCCUGCUUCGCUGAUCAACACAUUUUGCUUCGCAUGUUUCAGGUCCAUAAGCUACGGAAUUGAGCCCGAAGGCAAGAGCAGCUUUUCAGAGUCUGUGCUGCCAUCUAGUGUUAUUGUAUAUAUAGCACACCGGUUAACGUCUGAGCCCCAGCUCACUGUAGAGCUUUCUUCCUGCACGUCUCCCAGCUGAAUGUUUAACUCUAAGAUAGAGGAGAUUUUAGUUAAACUUCCUAAUCCACUAAUGCUGAUGACCUCUGAAAUUUUUGACCACCUAAAGGCUGUGUAUACGGAUAGAAGAGAGACUUCUGCUACAGUAUUUCUUUUAGACAGAUAGCACAGGUUGCUUCUGUCAGGAAGAGCAAAAGGAAGAUGCUUUGGCUGCUGCUGCAUUUUAGCAGCACUAAUUCUCAAGAAAAGGAAAAAAAGAAAAUAAAGUGAAGAUUACUGAGUGAACUUCAGGGAAGCUGCUCUUAUCUGCCACUAUGUGAGCUCCACAGUUCUCUGAAGGCUUUCUCAUGUGUUCAGGAAUAGGAAGCCUUGUACGUAUGUUGUAAAUGAGUGAGACAAAUAUCCUGUCUGUAUUUUUCACUUUUCUCGUCUAGAGAAAACCAGCUUAUUUCAAGUCCCAGAUUCUAAUUUGGUCCUUCGGAAGUCAGGGCAAUUAGUACAAGGCACUGCUCUUACUGCUUGGAAUAAAUUCAUUAGGAAACCUGUGUAGGCACAGAGCAUGAUGAAACAACACACAUUCUUGUGUUGCAUACCAGAGCGACAAGUAAAUUUCAAAGGUGACAGCCCAGAGUUACUGUGACUUCACAGCAACCACUUGGCUGACCUGAGAACAGAACCGUCUUUGUUUACAAUCUGCAUUUUUUUCUAACUCUUAUCUACUCUCUAGCACUGUAAUUUCCCUGAGCCCCCUCUGUGCCUCUAGGUCCAGCUUUCUCUGCACCUUGCAUUAUGCUGUACAAAUGUCCAGGUGUUACAAGGGACUUUCAUCUUCCAAAACAAAAGGUGAUGGACCAGCGACUAUCUGCAGUAACAAGUCACUGCCUGGGGAGAUAAAAGACAUUUCUUCUGGAUAGAAGUUACAUGUUAUGAGCUGUUUGUUCAGACUGAACAGUGAAACUAGAUAUAUGCCACGGAGAUAUACACCAUCUUCUGGAUCCUGCUGCACUUACGGAAGAUGCUACCAAGUCUGCCCAUUUAACAUCCUUUGCUGGCUGAAGUGGCCCUAUUCCCACCCCUAAGAAUCUGUCCCAUGAAUAUUUUAUGUAAACACUCCCUUAUUCACCUUGUGAGGUCAGACCAUUAAAAUCGGAUAUUAAAGUAGCAUUCUCAAAGCGGUUGAAGGGGAGCAGUGAUCAGCAGCACUAACUCAUUCCACGAUGACAGCUGCAUCUGGAGAGGAGCGUUUCUUGUCAUCACCCCACUCAUGUGUGCUAAGCCAGGAUAAGUACCCCCAUCUGCAAGACUGGACAUGAAUCUUCUGCAUACUCCCUGGUGGGACAUCCAGACAUGUCAUUAAGAUACAAGAACGUUGUGGUCAAGAGCUACGAGGCAGAAGUAAGACAAAAACAAGUCAUCCCUGCCAACUGGGCGAUGCAUGUGCUUGAGGGGAGAGGUUACCAAAGGGCAGCUAAGGAAGACUAUUGAAAGGGGUCCUUGGGACCAGCAAGAGAGACUCAGGACACCUAACGCACAAGCGCAGAGGGGUGGAGAAGUAUGCAAAGAGCUUAUGGGAAACAAUACGAUUGUUGCACCUGGACCGCUUCAGAAUGCGCGUAUAGCUGCAGUCUGAAAGCAAGGCAUGAACGAUAGGUGGAGCUAUCCGCCGUGCAUCCGGUGGUUCCCGGUCGGAGUGCCUGCCUCUUCAUGCUACAUUGGUGUUAAGAAGUUUCUGAAGGCUGCAUUUUGUUACUGCGUUGUCAAUAAAAUAACUUUACUG
rnacentral:lncRNA from 7 species